CCAAUAUUCAGAACACCCCUUUAGGCAUGGGGUAUCCCCACAAACAAGAUGUCCCCUGAUAGCCCUGAUCUGGGUGACCAACAUAUUCAAAUUUCACCCAGAUCGGUUCAGGGGUUCUCAAAAAGUAUGGAAGUCUUUUGUGACCGGCUAACCGCGAGGUGGCUGCCCAAAAUAGUUCCAGGAGUUUGGGUGGUUUUGCUGGUCUAUUCGGUUAAGUGGCAAAAACGGAAUAAUUUCACGAAUGGAUUCCCCUGGCUCUU